CAUCACGAGUUGGUUUCUGUGCGCUUAUCUCUUCAGCUCGUGGUCGUGGUCUCUGUUUUUUUUUUCACGAAGAAAAAGAACAGUAUAAGGCUAGUAACAAAUACAGUGUAGGAGAUCGAAGCCAGAAUGUUAAACAUCACGAAUUGGUUUCUGUGCGCUUAUCUCUUCAGCUCGUGGUCGUUGUCUCUGUUUUUUCCACGAAAAAAGAACUGUGACAAUCUUUCUGGGGUUUUCCCAGUUGGUCCUGCAUGGUACUAGAAAAAGUUACUUAAGAAGCCUGCAUAGAUGGUCGUCAAACCUUUUACCGUGGACUUGGAUAAGCCUCUCGUCUUCCAGGUUACAAUUUUUUUUUACUAUUGUUCUGUAUUUUGCACUUUUCCUCCUUAUGGGACAAUGUUUUCGGAACAGUGCCUUCAACAAAAGCUGCUGAGAAAAUGACUAACCAGUAGCACUGGCUGGGUUUAUUAACAUGGAUCUUCUUGCUACCGUUGUAGUAAAUAUAUUUGGAGCUAUGGAACAUGACUAAGAAGUACAAUAAUGAGUCCAUCAAUACAUAAAGGACUCCUGGCUGCUUUGGAUAUGUAAAACUGUUGAGGGGGAUUGGUUGCUUUGGCUCCAUAUGACCCCCAUAAACUGGCUCUGUAAUAUUAUUGUUCUUGUAUCAUGUAUGCUUGUUACUAUAAUAGUAAUUGGACA